rnacentral:lncRNA from 1 species
AACUAGAAGAAGCAUCGGGUAGGUUGCUUCUCCUACAAGCAAGGAUAACAAUAAAUAAAUUUUGAAUUAGUGGAUUUGCUUGGACCUCAAAUGGGUACGGUAGAGGAUUACAAAUGAUUAAGAUUCUGAUAAAUUUACUAUUCCAACUUGCUGCUGCAAGUUUCCUGAUAAUCUUGUUCUUCUAUUGAAGUAGUUUGCAGGGCCCUUUAGUCACAAAAAGUUCUGGGAAAUGGACAGUUACUCAGGUUGUGGAUUACUUUCAUCUGCUUCCUUAUGCUGGAAUAAUGUCAGAUUGGCUUUCUAGGUGCGUAGUUUUUCUUAUCAUCCCUAGUUUUUGGGAUAUAAAACUUAAAAUUCAUCUGCAUUGAGUGGGUUCUAAUAAAAAAUUUUCAGAUCUUAUUUAAUUGGUUUUCUAUUCUCAUUAAACAUGAAUUACGCUCAAGGAGCUUGAAGCUCUAUCAGGUAGUCUGUCUUCUUUGUGGCUCUGCUUUUAAAAUAAAUCAUAUGAGACCU